rnacentral:ncRNA from 19 species
GCCAGUUCGGCGGGGCACGGUACCUUCACUCUGAUAUCGACGACGGAAACACGGAAGCCGGUGGAAGUCCGGCACGGUCGCGCCACUGUGAACGGUGCGCUCCCCGCAGCGGGAGCGGACCGCGAGUCAGACCCGGGGCCGUCGUCCUGUGCACCACC